rfam:Cicer arietinum chromosome Ca1, whole genome shotgun sequence.
AGGUGCAGUCAUACCAUCACUAAUGCAUCAGAUCCAAUUAGAACUCCCAAGUGAAGCGUGCUUGGGCGAGAGUAGUACUAGGAUGGGUGACCUCCUAGGAAGUCCUCGUGUUGCACUCU